rnacentral:rRNA from 1 species
CAGUCGCCACGGUAAUACGUAGGGCGCAAGCGUUAUCCGGAAUUAUUGGGCGUAAAGAGCUCGUAGGCGGUUUGUCGCGUCUGCCGUGAAAGUCCGGGGCUCAACCCCGGAUCUGCGGUGGGUACGGGCAGACUAGAGUGAUGUAGGGGAGACUGGAAUUCCUGGUGUAGCGGUGAAAUGCGCAGAUAUCAGGAGGAACACCGAUGGCGAAGGCAGGUCUCUGGGCAUUAACUGACGCUGAGGAGCGAAAGCAUGGGGAGCGAACAGGAUUAGAUACCCGAGUAGUCCCUGUCUCUUAUAA